rnacentral:rRNA from 1 species
AUUGAACGCUAGCGGGAUGCUUUACACAUGCAAGUCGAACGGAGGGGCAGACGGGUGAGAAAUAUAUCUAAACGGGCCCAGUAGCGGGGGAUAACUACGCGAAAGAGUGGCUAAUCCCGCAUACUAUGGGAGCGGCCGCUAUCGGAUUAGCUAGUUGGGGGGGGAAAGGCUCAACAAGGCAACGAUCCGGAGCUGGUUUGAGAGGAUGACCAGCUAAACUGGGACUGAGAAACGGCCCAGACUCCUACGGGAGGCAGCAGUGGGGAAUUGUGGACAAUGGGGGAAACCCUGAUCCAGUCAUCCCGCGUGUAUGAUGAAGGCCUGCGGGUUGUAAAGUACUUUUGGCAGAGAAGCGGUAUCUGCAGAAGAAGCACCGGCUAACUACGUGCCAGCAGCCGCGGUAAUUC